rnacentral:tRNA from 1 species
GGAGGGGUGCGUGAAUGGUUAAACGAACGGAUUGCUAAUCCGUGGCGGUCUUAAAAGCCGCCUGUGGGUUCAAAUCCCACCCCCUCCG